rnacentral:tRNA from 1 species
GCAUCUGUAGCCCAGUCCGGUUAAGGCGCCUGCGUGCCACGCAGGAGUUCAUCGGUUCAAAUCCGAUCGGGCGCU